rnacentral:rRNA from 1 species
GACGAACGCUGGCGGCGUGCUUAACACAUGCAAGUCGAGCGAUGAAGUUCCUUCGGGAAUGGAUUAGCGGCGGACGGGUGAGUAACACGUGGGUAACCUGCCUCAUAGAGGGAAAUAGCCUUUCGAAAGGAAGAUUAAUACCGCAUAAGAUUGUAGUACCGCAUGGUGCAGCAAUUAAAGGAGUAAUCCGCUAUGAGAUGGACCCGCGUCGCAUUAGCUAGUUGGUGAGGUAACGGCUCACCAAGGCGACGAUGCGUAGCCGACCUGAGAGGGUGAUCGGCCACAUUGGGACUGAGACACGGCCCAGACUCCUACGGGAGGCAGCAGUGGGGAAUAUUGCACAAUGGGGGAAACCCUGAUGCAGCAACGCCGCGUGAGUGAUGACGGUCUUCGGAUUGUAAAGCUCUGUCUUCAGGGACGAUAAUGACGGUACCUGAGGAGGAAGCCACGGCUAACUACGUGCCAGCCGCCGCAGUAAGAC